rnacentral:rRNA from 1 species
AGCAGCCGCGGUAAUUCCAGCUCCAAUAGCGUAUAUUAAAGUUGUUGCAGUUAAAAAGCUCGUAGUUGAAUUUCGGGGUUAGUAGGUUGGUCGUGCCACUGGUAUGUACUGGUUCUACUGAUCCCUCCUUCUUGUAGAACCGUAAUGCCAUUCACUUGGUGUUGCGGGGAAACAGGACUGUUACUUUGAAAAAAUUAGAGUGUUUAAAGCAGGCUAACGCUUGAAUACAUUAGCAUGGAAUAAUGAAAUAGGACGUUCGAUCCUAUUUUGUUGGUUUCUAGGAUUGACGUAAUGAUUAAUAGGGAUAGUUGGGGGCAUUAGUAUUCAAUUGUCAGAGGUGAAAUUCCUGGAUUUAUUGAAGACUAACUACUGCGAAAGCAUUUGCCAAGGAUGUUUUCAUUAAUCAAGAACGAAAGUUAGGGGAUCGAAGACGAUCAGAUACCGUCGUAGUCUUAACCAUAAACUAUGCCGACUAGGGAUCGGAUGAUGUUAAUUUUUUAAUGACUCAUUCGGCGCCUUA